AGGAUGAAGUAUUGUCGUGCAGACGUCCCCACUUUAAAUCUUUCCUCUACUCAGUCGACAGGGAAGCAGAAAGUUCAGAACUCUCACUAACUUUGAGGCGAUGGCGGGGCGAGUUUGUGUGGAGGUUUACAGACUGUCCGUGUUUACACAAAUACUGACUUUAUGUGUCGGCCACAACUUACACAUGAAAAACAUUGCACUUCACAAACCUUGCAACAUCAGCUCACGGCACGUGACCCAGGCCGACAGAAUAACAGGAGAUUGCUCAGCAGUCAUUAAUGGAGACACGGAGACUGUCUUAAAUACAGAGAGCAAUCCAACCAACUGCAUCAACACCAAACUUACAGACAACUCGCCCUUCUGGUGGGUGGAUCUGGGGCAGGAGUUCAUCAUCAACAAGAUCUCAAUAUAUGGACGUACUGGACAUAUUAUCAGAAUGAUCUGUGUCAACGUUUCUCUGAACGGAGAUGUAAUCAAAAGAUUCAUCGAUACAAACGGGUGGACAGAUGAUAAAUACGACAUCCCCGUAGGCCGUGGUGGGCGAGUGGUCAACAUCACCAAAGGCUGUGACAGCAGCGAUUUUGUCAUAAACCUUUGUCAGGUACAGGUGUGGGUGUGUGAGGACGGUUGGUAUGGAGACAACUGUACACAAGUCUGUGGUCACUGUGCUGGUGGCUCUGUCUGCGACAAGAUCAACGGGAACUGUACAUCCUGCCAGACAGGCUUCCAGUUACCAAAUUGUACAGAAUGUAAGGACGGUUGGUAUGGAGAGAGUUGUGGUGAAGUGUGUGGACAUUGUCUGAGAGGUAACACUACCUGUGACAACAAAAUCGGAUAUUGUCCUUCCUGUGGUGGAGCAUUUCAACCACCUCUGUGCAAAGAGAAGUGCAGUGCUGGGUAUUACGGUGAAAACUGCAAACAGACUUGUGGACAUUGUCGUGUCAACACCACGUGUGAUCCUGAUAAUGGAAAGUGCACGUAUGGAUGCUCAGGGGGCUACAAGGAGGGUCUGUGUAGCGAAUGUGAAGACGGUUGGUAUGGAGACAGCUGUACUGAAAGGUGUGGACAUUGUAUGGGAGGUAACUCUACCUGUCACAAGAAAUACGGAAGCUGUUCCUCCUGUGAUGGGGCAUUUCAGCCACCUCUGUGUAAAGAAACGGCGAAACGACCAGUCGACAAAACGUCCGUCGUCGAAACGCCCGAACACGCCAAAGGACAAACAGUAUUCUUAAAGCUUGUCAGGACGGUUGGUAUGGAAAAAUUGUCUUGAAAGGUGUGGUCACUGUGUGGGAGGUAUCUCUACUUGCGACAAGACGAGUGGAAGUUGUCCUUCUUGUGACGGUUCAUUCCAACCACCUCUGUGUAAAGAGUCGGUGAUGCCAUCGUCUGACAAGGAGACUGUCAGUCUGGCAGGUCCUAUG